rnacentral:rRNA from 1 species
GACGAACGCUGGCGGCGUGCCUAACACAUGCAAGUCGUACGGGCCUGGGGGCAACUCCAGGUCAGUGGCGAACGGGUGCGUAACACGUGAGCAACCUGCCCUGCGGAGGGGGAUAGCCGGUCUAACGGCCGGGUAAUACCGCGUACGCCAUCGGGGCCGCAUGGUCCUGGUGGGAAAGCGGCCGCAAGGUCGCGCCGCAGGAGGGGCUCGCGGCCUAUCAGCUAGUUGGUGGGGUAACGGCCCACCAAGGCUAUGACGGGUAGCUGGUCUGAGAGGA